CCGCCUGCCCUGUGACAAUGUUUAACGGCCGCGGUAUUUUGACCGUGCGAAGGUAGCGUAAUCACUUGUCUUUUAAAUGAAGACCUGUAUGAAAGGCAUCACGAGAGUUUAACUGUCUCUAUUUUCUAAUCAAUGAAAUUGAUCUUCUCGUGCAGAAGCGAGAAUAUUACCAUUAGACGAGAAGACCCUAUGGAGCUUCAAACACUUAAAUUAAUUAUGUAAAAUUAUAAUCCCAAGGGAAAAAUCAUUCAUAUAAUAUUCCUAAUUUAACUGUUUUUGGUUGGGGUGACCGAGGGGGAAAGAAAAUCCCCCUUAUCGACUGAGUACUAAGUACUUAAAAAUUAGAACGACAGUUCUGAUUAAUAAAACAUUUACCGAAAAAUGACCCAGACUUUUCUGAUCAAUGAACCAAGUUACCCUAGGGAUAACAGCGCAAUCCUUUCCCAGAGUCCCUAUCGCCGAAAGGGUUUACGACCUCGAUGUUGGAUCAGGACAUCCUAAUGGUGCAACCGCUAUUAAGGGUUCGUUUGUUCAACGAUUA
rnacentral:rRNA from 1 species